CAGUAGCCGCGGUAAUACGGAGGGGGCUAGCGUUGUUCGGAUUUACUGGGCGUAAAGGGCGCGUAGGCGGACUGAUAAGUCAGGGGUGAAAUCCCAAGGCUCAACCUUGGAACUGCCUUUGAUACUGUUUGUCUUGAGUUCGAGAGAGGUAAGUGGAACUGCGAGUGUAGAGGUGAAAUUCGUAGAUAUUCGCAAGAACACCAGUGGCGAAGGCGGCUUACUGGCUUGAAACUGACGCUGAGGCGCGAAAGCGUGGGGAGCAAACAGGAUUAGAUACCCCCGUAGUCCCUGUCUCUUAUAC
rnacentral:rRNA from 1 species